rnacentral:rRNA from 1 species
GACGAACGCUGGCGGCGUGCUUAACACAUGCAAGUCGAGCGGUAAGGCCCUUUCGGGGGUACACGAGCGGCGAACGGGUGAGUAACACGUGGGUGACCUGCCCUCAGCUCUGGGAUAAGCCCGGGAAACUGGGUCUAAUACCGGAUAUGACUUCAUGACGCAUGUUGUGGAGUGGAAAGCCUUGUGCGGCUGAGGAUGGGCCCGCGGCCUAUCAGCUUGUUGGUGGGGUGAUGGCCUACCAAGGCGACGACGGGUAGCCGGCCUGAGAGGGCGACCGGCCACACUGGGACUGAGAUACGGCCCAGACUCCUACGGGAGGCAGCAGUGGGGAAUCUUGCGCAAUGGGACGAAAGCCUGACGCAGCGACGCCGCGUGA